rnacentral:rRNA from 1 species
GACGGAGGAUGCAAGUGUUAUCCGGAAUCACUGGGCGUAAAGCGUCUGUAGGUGGUUUAAAAAGUCCACUGUUAAAAUUGAAGACUUAACUUCAAAGAUGCCGUGGAAACUUUUAAACUUGAGGAUGAUAGGGGUAGAGGGAAUUUCCAGUGGAGCGGUGAAAUGCGUAGAUAUUGGAAAGACCACCAAUGGCGAAGGCACUCUACUGGGCCAUUACUGACACUGAGAGACGAAAGCUAGGGGAGCGAAUGGG